rnacentral:lncRNA from 1 species
AUAAAAUGUUUAAAGCAUGUAUUUAGCCUGUGACCUCAGGGGUCAGUCACACCCUGAGCCUUCUGGUAAACCUGAAGAAUGGUCCUUCUCAAUUUAUCUCCCAGCAAUGACCUUACAUGCUCAUACUGUGAAUUUGGGAGGAAGUGAAAUGGACUUCUCCUCAUGGGCAGUUUUCCCGGUCACCUUGUGAGUAGACACCUGUCAAUAUCCUUUGAAACGUUUUUUUUGUUUUUUUUUUUUUUUUUACAGCACCCUCUUUUCUCUUUCUUUUCUCCCCCCCACCCCCCGUCCCACAGACUUCCCUCCCACCGGGUCCAGGCUCAGUGCCGAGACCUCUGUCCCUGGUGCUGCCUGACAAGUGAACGAUGGUUUCAAGGAGUGUAGCCUUGUUCGAGUCACAACUCGGGGUCUUUCCUACAGUUUCCGGAAGCAGGGUUGUCUGAUAUGCACAUUUCUUACUUUGGUCCUGUUCUGCUUUUGUGUCGCUCACCUUUGACAAAGUGACUGUGCUCAUUUAGGGCUCUGUCCGAAAUGCUUCCACUUUGCCUUUUUCUACAGUUAGGCCAAUUUUGAAAAUGUAUGAAAUUCUAUGCAACAUUUGUGUUGAGUUACCAAUGGAAGCCAAAAGUUUUCUUUCCAGACUGCCAAGAAUUUUACAGGCCAUAAGUGAGAUGGGAAUUCCCUUUAGUUUAAGGUGGUGGGUGGGCAGCGGGGGACACGGAAUGAGACUUGCCUAGACCUUUGUUGUAUCUUGGGGACAUAUUGUUGAUGCUUAAACUUCAAAAUUCUGUGUAUUCGAAUUUGAUAAUGGCGAAUCUACUUCAAAAGGAGAAAAUAAUCCAACUUUGUGGAUACGAAAUGGAAGGUUCGCUGUUUUGAUCUAGUUAUUUCCAGUGGAGCAGUUUAUGAAAUAUGUUCUAUAAGAUGUACAUUUUUUUCAUUGUAACAUAGAAAUUGUAAAUAACUGAUUAAAGUGCUGCAUUUUGAUGAAUUUUUUCUAGCCAUUUUUAAAGAGAAAACUAGGAAUUGAGUAUUUUGUGUACGGUAUGUUUCCGUCCUCCCUCCCCGUCCGCCGUCCCUCCCUAUUUAAUUUUCAUUUGUCAUGAGGUUUUUGGAUUUGCCAGUGAUCUGCCGGAGGUCAUGCCCCACAUCAUCGAGAAUAAAGCUGAUGAUUGUACCAGUCUUAAAUUAUUCAUGAUUCAAUAAAAUCGAUGCUUAUUUAUUCAG